rnacentral:rRNA from 1 species
GGCUCCUUGAAUUAAUUAAAAUAAGGAGUCGGACCUGCCCAGUGAAAUUUUUCAACGGCCGCGGUACUCUGACCGUGCAAAGGUAGCAUAAUCAUUUGCCUUAUAAUUGAAGGCUAGUAUGAAUGGUUUGACAAAAAUAUCGCUGUCUCUUUUUGGUUUAUCAGAAUUUUAUUUUAAGGUGAAGAAGCCUUAAUUAAAUUAAAAGACAAGAAGACCCUGUCGAGCUUGAAAUAACUUAAUAGAAUAUAAAUUUAAUAAUAUUUAAAAAAAUUACUAUUAAAAAUUUUAGUUGGGGCGACUGAGGAACAAACAAAGCUUCCUUUAUAAAAUAAAUAUCUAUAAAUUUUGAUCCAAAAUUUUUGAUUAAAAGAAUUAGUUACCGCAGGGAUAACAGCAUUAUCUUUUUUAAGAGCUCUAAUCGAAAAAAAGGUUUGUGACCUCGAUGUUGGACCAGAAUAUCCCAAAGAUGCAGAAGUCUUUAAAGGUUGGUCUGUUCGACCAUUAAAAUUCU